rnacentral:lncRNA from 1 species
UCCAAUGGCAGCAUGCCCGCCAGCUGCUCGACGAAAUGAAACGGCCGACCAACUGACCAGCAUCCAUGCCCAAUCUACUCGAUGGUACGUGUCUCGGAUCCCAUUCUUCAUUCUGCAAUCUUGUGUCACUGAAUGUGUGAACUGUAAUCUGUUGAACUGAGUGCAUUCCAGGCAGGCAAUGGAGGCGCCCCAAAUAUUUUGAUGAAGGGUGUGAUGGUGUUUGUUCUUGUUACACGCCGAGUGCCGCUGCAUGCGCCGACUUGAUUUAGUUCAUCGGAAAGUUGGGUAAAUCUGAUGUCAAGUCGCUGCACAUUACAGUAUUUUGUAGUGUUGCAUUUUACUACUGCUGCUGCCACUAAAGGAACCAUCACUUGCUGAAAUAUUCACCGAGUUGAACAAUUUGUGGUCUGCAAAAUGUGAUUAGGCUCAACCACAAGCUCUAGGAACAUCAGACAUAGUCAGUUUUAAGUUUGCACAUAUCUACUAUACAUUUCAUUGAUUGAUUGCUUUGCUUCUUGUAUGUUCAUACUUUCUGCGGAUAUACUGUUUUUUCAUAGUGUUCAAGCACCCUGUUAUAUCUAGUUAUGCACCUUGUGGCUGCUCUGCCAGGUUACUUUAUAUUUUUAUUUUGAGAAAAAGUUGCUUCAUGUUAUAUCUACUGAUAUAAGAUCCCACGCCGUUGUUUAUUUAAGACUUCCACAAGUUAACUUCUCGUGAGGCUGUUAGCGUACUACGGCAUUUCAGUCCACUACAAUAGCUGAAUAAUUUACCUUACUAAGUGAACCCACUAAGUCAUCAUAUACUUUUAAUUAGUGUGGCUCUGAAAAUUGGGUAGUUCUCAGAUUCUGGUAGAAUGAUUAGCUUGAAUUGCUGUGGUAACUAGUAGUGUUGUACAACGUGACCAUAUGGCAGCAUGUUUUAUUGCCUGCUGGUUGCAUAAUGUCUGUCAACAUGAUUUAUCAUCACCAUCUAGAAGUGUAUCUCACUCUGUGGUAUUUCCGACUUCAAUCAUGAUAUAUGAAGCUUUAUGUGCAGCUACGGAAACUAGGUUGAUUGAGUUAGCAUGAAUUCUGGGGAUGUUAUAUCUUUCGAGUUUCAACUGCAUGACUACUAGAUAUAGUUGACCAACUGUGAGCCUUGACAUUCAGAAUACUAGGGGUUGCAUGUUUCUCAGUUUUGACUUUGCACAAAGCUACUACACAUGAUUGCUCAGCUUCUUAUGUUCAUAUUUUCUGCACAUUACACUGUUUUGUCUCAGUUUUCAAGUACCCUGUUAUGUCUAGUUGUGCACCUUGUGGCUGCUGUACCAAGUUGCUUCAUGUUGAUCCCACGCUGUAUUUUAUUUCAGGCUUCUACAAGUUAACUUCACUAGUGAUGCUAUUAAAAUACCCACUACAGUAGCAGAAUAAUUUACCUUGCUUAGUGAACCCACUAACUCAUCAUAUAUACUGUUACAUAAUCUGGCUCACUUGUUACCAAAAUUUAUGCAUCGCUAAGACCUUAAGGCCCCGCUUGGAAUCGGUAUAUCUUUAUACACCUGUAUUUAUUUUACAGAUGUGUAUCAUCAGCCACACUUGAUUUCCACCUGAAAAAAAAAACGAUAGAUGGAGGCAUGUAUAUUUUACAGGGGUAUUGCUCCGCGAAACGAGAAUCCAAUCAGGGCCCAAGUGUUCGGUGAAAUAAUAACAUGUAGCUUCACUUUAUUACACUCUGACUCAGUUCUUCUGCUCUGUGUUACUAAACCACGUCUUUACUUAUCCUAAUCAGAGGACGUCUUUUGUUAUUUAUAGGCCCGGAAACUAGAAUUCACAAGCUUGCAAGCGUCACAACUGAGGCCUUUGACGCGCGGCGCAUGGAUGCAGGCAUACGCUGUCGAGAGAGCUAAGCUGAGUACCUGAUGGACUUUUGUGGUUCUGUAGUGAGUUCGGUAAUGAUGUUAAGUUGCUACACUGUUUUGUAUCAGAGGUCUGUAUUUAACUAUGGCUGGAGAUCAUUCUCUAGUAACUGAAAAAGACAAGUCUGAGUUGGAAACUUUGGCCAGAAGGAGCAGCUUGGUUAUUGGCAACUUAUUUCUCCAGUAAUUUUUGUAUGCAAUUUGUGAAUGCUCUUUUGUAUUGAAUGGCUUGGGCGCAAGCGAAAUCGUGUUUUGUGUCUUCUUUUUAGAACUUCAAGCAUUCAGCAAGGUGAAGAUAUUCCAGCAUUGUGAAUUUUGUUUGUA